rfam:Xenopus tropicalis strain Nigerian Chr03_contig_3530, whole genome shotgun sequence.
ACCAGGAUGGCUGAGUGGUUAAGGCGUUGGACUUAAGAUCCAAUGGAUGUAUAUCCGCGUGGGUUCCAACCCCACGCCUGGUA